CGCCGGCGACGAUGUGCUGCCGCAGGACGGGUCGUGGCUCGGCGACGACGACUACCCCGCGCUCAACGGCACCAACGUGGAAGAGCUCCUGGAGUGCGUGGAGGCCGCGCAGCAGGCCACGGAGGACGGCCACUGCGCGCCCAGCUUCGACAAGGUGCUCUGCUGGAAGGGCCAGCCCGGCGGCACGCUGGCCACGCAGACCUGCUUCGCGGAGCUCAACGGCGUCGUCUACGACAACAUCGGACGCAACGCGACGCGCUGGUGCCUGGAGAACGCCACGUGGUCGUCGUACUCCAACUACUCGGCCUGCAUGGUGGAGCGCGUGAGCACGGAGCCGGAGACCGCGGACCACUCCGUCAUCACCUCCACCAUCUACUACGUGGGCUACACCGUGUCCACCGUGGCCCUCACCAUGGCCGUCUUCAUCUUCUCCUACUUCCGGGAGCUGCACUGUCUGCGCAACCGCAUCCACAUGAACCUGAUGCUGGCCUACAUCGCAGCGGACAUCGUCUGGAUCCUCAACAUGGCGGUCAACGUGUACCUGAUCGAGCACAUCAGCCAGGCCUUCUGCUUCAUCUUCGUCGUGCUGCUGCACUACACCAUGCUGACGCACUUCCUGUGGAUGUUCGUCGAGGGACUGUACCUGUACACGCUGGUGGUGAAGACGUUCCAGCAGGGCACCGCCAAGCUGCCGGCCUACCUGGUCAUCGGCUGGGGCGUCCCGCUGGUCGUCGUCGUGUCCUGGGUCGUGACGCGCCUGCUGCACCCGGAGGAGCAGACCGAACACGAGCAGGACUUGUGCUCGUGGCUGGCGUACCAUUGGUCGGACUGGGUGUACCAGGCGCCUGUCAUCGCCGUGCUCGCCAUCAACACCAUCUUCCUGUGCUUCGUGAUGUAUGUGCUCAUCACCAAGCUGCGCUCGGACAGCUCGAUGCGGCCGGGCGCCAUGGGCCCGCCGGGCGACGCGGAGCAGCAGCAGUCCAAGAAGGCGGCCAAGGCCCUGCUCGUGCUCAUCCCGCUGCUGGGCAUCACCUACAUCCUCGUCAUCGCCGGCCCCACGGAGGGCCACGCGGCCAACGUGUUCGCGCACGUGCGCGCGCUGCUGCUGUCCACGCAGGGUCUGCUGGUGGCCAUCUUCUACUGCUUCCUCAACACGGACGUACGCCACACGCUGGCCAACCGGUGGGAGCGCUGGAGGGAGGUUCGCACGCUGGGCCGGCAGCGCAACGGGCGCGCCGCCUCCGUCAACUGGACCAACCGAGACACCUUCGGCCGCGGCAUGGCGGAGGCGGAGACGACGCCCAUCGCCGCCAACGAGCGCUGAGCUUGGCCCUCAAGCUGCCUUAGGCAUGUCCAUGACUCUUGACCCCCAAGGCGCCCAAGGCCUCAGGGCCGCGAUCUUGCCGGCCUUCAUCAAGGUCUUGACGGAGGACACGACACGCGGCGCCGCCGGGGGAAGUCCAGCGCGCACUGCACCGACGCAGGGAGUCUUGCCUCACGGUCCACCACGCGCAAGUGGGGGACAGGUCGCCCGCCUUCAGGAACGGCCACGACCAGCAGUCCUGGCUGGACAAGCCCCACCACGUAGAGGCGCACAUGUGAGCGCCCGGCCCGCCCGGCCCGCCCGGCCGUGGUCCACACUGGACGCCCUGGAGGCCCUGGGGACCCUGGAGACCCUGGAGACCCUGGAGGCCCUGAGGGUCCUGGAGACCCAGGAGGUCCUGCAGACCCUGGAGGCCCUGCAGACCCUGCAGACCCUGAAGGACCUGCAGCAGAAGGACGCUCACUCAGCACCGCGUCCGCGGCAUGUGAACGCGUCCAUACAUAGCAGGUGGAUGUGAUGCGACGCGUUCUCCAGCGACCUAUUAGUUCCAGCCUCAGUGCAACCAUGACUUGUGAUGGACUGUCGAUACCACGGCACGACCGCCAUCGUUUUCUUCUUUUCACUGCAUCCAGAAUGACGCGUUCGGCGCGGGGUUGCCAGUGUUCCUCCGCGACGUGACGUGACGUGACGUGACGUCCCCUCGGUGUUGUGCAGGCGCAACACGCCCGGGGGCAGAAGAAGUAUGUCGCCAAAGUGUCGCUAUUGUGCUGCUGGAUGGAUUCCCUGAAUUCCCGGGGCGACAGCGUCCUCAGACUUUCCUCUUUUUCUACGAUUGCUUUGAAGUGGCUUUUCGUUUAUUUCUUGAUGGGAUUGCAGUGUAGAACCCCAUCAUGACGUUCGUGGAAAUCAAUGGAAAUGUUCACGGUAGUCUUUUCCUCUCCGACAUGAUUGUUGUUGUGAAAAUGGAAAUCCCACGGAACGCAAUGGAGCCGCGUGUUUCUGUUUCGCCCCACUGUUUUUAGGCUAAGACGACGAUUGUGAAAAAGAACGAACGACUGUUGUAAAAUGAA